AAUCAAAAUAUAUUGACACUGGCACUUUGGAGUAUGAUAUUUUGGUUAUUUAAAAAAUAAUAUGGGAAGGGCAGGAAAUAAUUGCCUAUAAUUUGCUUUCAAUUUGACGAAUAUAUCAAGCCCAGUAACUACUACCUUAUACCUAGGCUGGUUUCACCAAAAAAAAAAAAAGCGAUGGUGUGCAGCUUGGUGGCAUAAUGCACAGGAGGUGGGUGGGUGGAAGUGUGCAUUGGGGUAGUGGUGCAAAGGUGGCUGGGACAGUGUAGAGGGAGUAAGAGUGGUGGUUGGAUUGUGCUAGAGGGGAUUGCAUGCAAAUCUAGCAUUGUGCACAACCGGUGCUGGGGUCGCACAGGGCGGUGGUGAUGGGUCACUGGGUUGGAGAAGGUGAAGGAAGUGGUUGUGGAUGCAAAGAAGAGAAAGGUGAUGGAGGGUCGGGGGCAUAGGAAAGAGGAAGGGGGAAGAAAAAAGGGAAGGAUUUACACAAGGGAUAAGGGGGUCUUUUUAAAGAUUUGUAGGGGCUAAUAGCGAAAAGGAUAUGGAUCAAUAAUAGUUCCUUGUUUUUUUUGUUUGGGCUUUGCAAGGCUCAGAUUGAAA